CAAGCAUUCGCUGGCGGCGUGCUUACACAUGCAAGUCGAGCGGUGCUCACGGGGCUUGCUCUGUGGGAUCAGUGGCGGACGGGUGAGUAACACGUGAGCAACCUGCCCCUGACUCUGGGAUAACCCCUGGAAACCGCGUCUAAUACUGGAUAUUUGAUUUGAUCGCAUGGUCUGCGUCUGGAAAGAAUUUCGGUUGGGGAUGGGCUCUGGGCCUAUCAGCUUGUAGGUGAGGUAAUGGCUCACCAGCGCACCAACGGGACGAUGGCCUGCCGACCUGACAGGGUGAUCUGGCACACUGACACUGACACAACUCCCACACUCGGACGGGAGGGGGAAUAUUGGACACUGCCGCCAUGCCCGAUGCUCCGACGGCGCGUGAGGGACUAAGUGAUUCAGGUUGUCAAACUCUUUUACUCUGUUGUAAGGGAAAAUGACGUUUCCUACUAACUGCCCGCCCGCUAACUACAUCCCACCAGACAGCGUAGGCUAACUACGUGCCAGCCGCCCGGUA
rnacentral:rRNA from 2 species